UACGUAGGGUGCAAGCGUUGUCCGGAAUUAUUGGGCGUAAAGAGCUUGUAGGCGGUUUGUCGCGUCUGCUGUGAAAUUUCGGGGCUCAACCCCGAACUUGCAGUGGGUACGGGCAGACUAGAGUGUGGUAGGGGAGACUGGAAUUCCUGGUGUAGCGGUGAAAUGCGCAGAUAUCAGGAGGAACACCGGUGGCGAAGGCGGGUCUCUGGGCCGAUACUGACACUGAGGAGCGAAAGCGUGGGGAGCGAACAGG
rnacentral:rRNA from 1 species